UCCUACGGGAGGCAGCAGUAGGGAAUCUUCCGCAAUGGACGAAAGUCUGACGGAGCAACGCCGCGUGAGUGAUGAAGGUUUCGGAUCGUAAAGCUCUGUUGUUAGGGAGAACAAGUACCGUUCGAAUAGGCGGUACCUUGACGGUACCUAACCAGAAAGCCACGGCCAACUACGUGCCAGCAGCCGCGGUA
rnacentral:rRNA from 1 species